UAAUACGAGGGGUGCAAGCGUUAUUCGGAUUAAUUGGGCGUAAAGGGUGCGUAGACGGUUUGUUAAGUCACUUGUUAAAUUCUUCAGCCUAACUGAAGGUAUGCGAGUGAUACUGGCGAACUAGAGGGUGGAAGAGAGAAGUGGAAUUCUCGGAGUAGCGGUAAAAUGCGUAGAUCUCGAGAGGAACACCAAUGGCGAAGGCAGCUUCUUGGUCCAUUCCUGACGUUCAGGCACGAAAGCGUGGGGAGCAAACAGGAUUAGAUACCCUGGUAGUCCACGCUGUAAACGAUGAUCACUGGACGUUGGUUCUGUUUAACAGAAUCAGUGUCGUAGCUAACGCGUUAAGUGAUCCGCCUGGGAAUUACGGUCGCAAGACUA
rnacentral:rRNA from 1 species